AAAAAAGAAAUAAAAAAAGAACUGAAGCAAAUAUGGAUGAACAAUAAGGUUUUAAAAGCAGAUAGUGAGUAUGUGAAUACAUACAUUAUUCUAUUUGCUGUAAGAUAAAUAUUUCACU